rnacentral:tRNA from 1 species
GAAGGCUUAGUUAAAUAAUAACAUUAACUUGUCAAAUUAAAAUUGCCAAUAAGCAGUCUUUA